AAGAAUUUUAGAAGAGAAUUGGAUUUAGAUUUUUGGAGAAAUGAUAGGCUAUAUAUAAGGGUAUGGCCGACCCUAUUAGGAGGGACCGGCCACAUAUGUUUGAUUUGUGGGAUUGAUUGCAAGAUAUUAUGUGAAAUAAUAUCUUGCAAUUAAUUUGGUAAUUAAUCCCAAUUUGAAAAGAAUAAUUGGGAGUUACCUUGUGGGUGAGGAUUUGAUGAGGAGUGAUGAGAGAGUUUUAAAAGAAUACCAUUUUGAUCACCUUUGACCUCGAUUGAGCUGUUAUAAUCUGUUGCAUGCGUGUGGGAAUCUCGGUGUGCCUUAAGGGUAAUUUUGUCUUUUUCACCCCAAAAGUCCACGUGUCGCCUCUAUAUUUUUCUUGAUUAUUUUUGGCUUUAUAAAUGCCCUUACAUCUGUUGGGUUGCUCACAGGAAAAGGCAUCAGGUGUUGAGAUCUUCUCUUGCUUUAGAAAACAUAGGAUUGUUUCUUAUUUUGAUGUAGAUUCCUUCUUUAAUUAGAAAUUAUAUCCUUCUAGGAAAGGGAAAUAAAUCACUUCUAAGGUUUAUUUAAGUCUACCUUAAGUAGAUGAUUUAAUCAACUUUAGAGAGCAAUUUAUU
rnacentral:lncRNA from 1 species